UACCAUUUACCUGCCAGUGAGAAAGGAGAAGAAAAAACAUAGAGGGGAGCCAGUUUUCAUUGUAAGGCUGGGACCUGGAUGUGGUGCCCAUCACUUCUAUGAGCCUGAGCUGAUUGGCGUGGCCACUCCUAGCUGUAAGGGAGGCUGGGAACUACACUGCCCUCUCCAACUGCCUGCCCUGCUCCUGCUCCAGGAUGCCCCGUGUUACUGAAAAGAAGAGGGUAAACGGGGAUGGGGGCAAUUAGAAGUCUCUGCCACUGCUUAUCAUAAUGGUUGGAUCACAGACCAAUGGAACAGAAGGGAGACUAGAAAUAGACCCAUGCAAGUCAGUGGAGAAAGGAUGGAUUAUUUUCAUAAAUGCUGCUGGAAAUAAAUUUGAAUGGAAAAAAUGAAACUGGAUCACCACACCAUGCACAAAAAUUAAUUAUGGCUCAAUUAAAGACUUACGUGAUAAAUGCAAAGCUAUAAAACACAGAGUACAAUGCAGAAAGAUCAAUAUAUGACUUUGGAAUGGAAAGAUUUCUUAAAUAAGAUGCAAAAACUGUUAAUUAUAUAGAAAAAAAUGAUAAAUUUGACCACAUUAAAAUUAGGAAUUUCUGUGCCUGGGAUUUGUUUGUGUUUUCUUUGAAUCCCCUGUAGCACCAAGGACAGUGCCUGCACACACUAGAAAUGUCUCUACUAUGUUCCAAGGCUGGCUUCUCCAGCAUGCCAGAUUCCAUUUUCUAAGUUUC
rnacentral:lncRNA from 10 species